rnacentral:rRNA from 1 species
UAAAGAAUUUCGGUCAUCGAUGGGGAUGCGUUCCAUUAGUUUGUUGGCGGGGUAACGGCCCACCAAGGCAUCGAUGGAUAGGGGUUCUGAGAGGAAGGUCCCCCACAUUGGAACUGAGACACGGUCCAAACUCCUACGGGAGGCAGCAGUGAGGAAUAUUGGUCAAUGGGCGCUAGCCUGAACCAGCCAAGUAGCGUGAAGGAUGACUGCCCUAUGGGUUGUAAACUUCUUUUAUAUGGGAAUAAAGUGCAGUAUGUAUACUGCUUUGCAUGUACCUUAUGAAUAAGGAUCGGCUAACUCCGUGCCAGCAGCCGCGGUAAUACGGAGGAUCCGAGCGUUAUCCGGAUUUAUUGGGUUUAAAGGGAGCGUAGGCGGGUUGUUAAGUCAGUUGUGAAAGUUUGCGGCUCAACCGUAAAAUUGCAGUUGAUACUGGCAUCCUUGAGUACAGUAGAGGUAGGCGGAAUUCGUGGUGUAGCGGUGAAAUGCUUAGAUAUCACGAAGAACUCCGAUUGCGAAGGCAGCCUGCUGGACUGUAACUGACGCUGAUGCUCGAAAGUGUGGGUAUCAAACAGGAUUAGAUACCCUGGUAGUCCACACAGUAAACGAUGAAUACUCGCUGUUUGCGAUAUACAGUAA